CUCUGUAUAACUAAGUUAAGUGCCAGGUUCUUACCCUGGUAAUGUGUUUUACACUGCAGGGC
rnacentral:tRNA from 2 species